UUAACAAGGGAUUGCUUCACCUUUGACAUAAUACUGUUUGAAUGUUUUUGCUUGUUGACAGCAACUUCUUUGGUUGUGACUUCUGCUUCUCGUUUCAGCUCAUCGCUCUCUUCAACAACCUCUGAUAUUUUAUCUGUAGUUUGGUUACUACAUCUUUGGCUUCGCUUGCUUCUUCUUGUUCAUUCUUUGGUGGUUCUUCCAGUACAUGUUUCUCUUCGGUAAUGGUCUUCUCAAUGACAUCAGGAGGAGAUGAAACGUCUUCUUCAGUCUCAACCUUAGCUUGUUCUUGUUCUGUUGAUUCAGAAGCCUCUGGCUUUGGCGUGACUUCAAGAACCUCAACAUCUUUGCUUUUGUCUUCUACAGUCUCUGAAGGUACUUCUCCAACAAGCUGAACAUCAACUGCUUCCACCUGUUUGCUUCCUGCUUCAUCUGUUGAUUCCAAAACAUCAACAACAUUUGUCUCCUCCAUAUCCUUAUUGUCUUCUUCAACAACACUCUCCACUAUUUGCUUCUCUUCUGCUUUCUCCUCAUCAACACCCUCUUUCACAAUGAUUCCUCUACUUCCACAACUGCAGGUGAUUCUUUCUCCGGUUCAUCAACAGGAGUUUGGUCACUUUGCUCCUCCUUUAUAACCGUCAGGUUUAAAUCUGAAACCGGUUUAUCUUUCACCACAACCUCAGUUUCUUGCAAAACAAUAUUUUUUCCAUCAACUUAGCUUCUUCAUUCACCUUGUUCUCCAUUGGCUGUAUAAGUGAAAGCAUAAGGAUCUAACAAGAACCAAAACAGGAUGCAGAAAAUCUAUCUAUCACGCUUAAAAGCAUCACUUCGAAAGUUGCAGUUGCGGUCUGAGAAUCUGAAGCCAUGAAAGAAGAUUCAGAAGGAAGGAGAAUAAAAAGUAGUGGACAGGGCUCACUUCAAAAAUUCAGAUGAUUAUAUGUCAGAGUUGAUGAAGAAGUUAGUUUGGCUGAAAG